CUCUGGUAUCACUCCCUCUCUUUGCCACACAACGUGGUUGGCAUCGAUGAGGAGAUCUAACAAGGCGGUUACACUUGCAUGGAAUGAUCAGAUGGAGUAAUCAUGGCUCAACAACACAAGAGUGUCUGCCAGGCCUGGUUCUGCCGUGUCUUUCUGAGGAAGGUCUUCUGGAGGAGAUUGGCUUCUGAUUGGCUGAUGGCCUGGAAGGUCCUCCUCUCUCACCUGCUCAUGUUUUCCCGCUCUCUGGGUUUAGCCCUGAAGCUUUGGAGAAACACGACACGGCCAAAGCAGUCUUCUCCCCCGAGGUCAAAUUCAGAGAGAGAGUAGCCAAUAAGAUGCGAGAGAAAGAGUACAUGCCAAGCUCACCUGAAGAUGUCAUGCAUGCACAUCCUAGCCAUGUUGGGAUGGAGAAUAAAUGAGGCUGCUUUCUUGUCGGACCUCUUGGUCCACCUGGUCCAGCCGUCUGGAUGUCCUGACUGAAGACGUGAAAGAAAGAAUCCUAAAGGUUCUGCUCUUUGUAGAUGGAGGCUGGAUGGUGGACAACAGACAGGAUGCAGAGCGCAGCCACCAGAUGCUGGUGUUGCGCUCGCUGUGUCUGCCACGACUCAACUUCCUGCAGAGCUCCUACAGACACCAGGAGGGGCUACGGCUUGACCCGUCCCAAAAGUUUCAGAUGACCCGGAUGACACUGCAUCAACAUCAGACAUUUUAAUCAUCAUCCGUCCAACCAUUCCAUUUCAUUUAAAAAGGACAAAUAUAAUCAUGAGUGGCAGCACAGUUACUCUUGUAAGCACAGAUGCACACUGGAGUUUUUGGACUUAUUGUGGAUCUCAAGCACAGGUUGUUGGAUCCAAACAAAGGUCACAUACACAAAUGAAUGAAAUGUUCAUGAAUGCUUCAUGAGGUUCCAAGUCAAGCUACACAAAGAAUGAAAGUCAAACUGGAGCCUGGACGGAGAAUCAUCCAAAUGACAUUACCACCAUAACGCAAAGACAAAAUGACAUCACUUGACUCCUGGUGCAGCAAAAUCUAUCCUCUGUCCUUCAUCUAGAAAUAUCCCAGUGGAGGAUGGAGAGCCUUUUCAAUACAGGCCUUUUAUUAGAGCCUUUGAACAUGGAGUGGAGGAGAAGACAACUCAUUUUUCCCCACUGAGGGACGAAUAAAGGCUUAUCUUAUCUUGGAACGAUCCUUUGCACUUCCAGGGGGCAGCGAAGAGACUCAGUGCAAAGUUGUCAGCACUUCCCUGGGGGGCAAGGAUCUUCUUAGAUGGAGAAAAUUCUUAACUGGAUGCCUGUUAAUAGUGAGGAUGUUAAAUCACUACAGCCAUUCUCCCUUUUUCUUACAGGAUGCUCAAAUCUGACGGAACAAAUUGUGCAUAUGAAAGAGGCGGACUUACCAUCUAACAUGAGGAACAUCAUUCUUAAACUUCCAUACAAAUGACGGCGAAAAUAGGGGAAUGUUGCUUGUGAUUUGCUAGAGCGAUGUGGUCAAAGAACAGUAUUCACCCAUCUUGUUACCUUCAUUGAAAGACUGGUCCAAGUAGCCUAUGAUCCACUUUUUGGGAACAUUCAGGACUCGCAAGGUACCAACUCCAAGGCUUCCAAUGCUAAUCACACAAAACAAGGAAAAAGGAAAGCAGUUUUGCCACGAAUGUCACUGAAGUCCAAGAUGGAGGUGCAUCUCAACAUACAAUCACUCAAGCCAAAGUACCUUUUGUGCAGAAUUGUCUGUUUUGCUCUCAAAGCAGUCAUUCCUUGGACAAGUGCUCACAGUUUCAAGUGAAAGUACCCCAGGAUAAGAUGAAUUUUCUCAAGAAAAGCCUUUUGGUUGCCUGAAGCUAGGCCACACAAGCAAAGACUGUAGGAGUGGUUUGGAUUGCACCAAAAGCACCCGGGAGUCCUUCACAUACAGCGACAGGAUACAGGCACAUCCUCAGCACAAAAUCCAAACACUGUGAACUCUUCAAGUCUUUCUACUAAACUGUCUCAGACCUGUGGCCAUAUUGGGAUUGGGGCCGCUUGUGCAGAUGAUUCUGUCUUUUCUAUUGUUGCAGUCGAGGUAAAGAGUCGGAAGCUCAGGCCCAUUUUGCACAGAUAUUCUGGCCAGGAAAUUUAACUUGAGAGGUCAAAGGGCAAGUACUCUGCUGAGAACAAUGGGCCAAAGGAAGAUAGUAAAUGCUCAGGUUUUGUCAGGACUUGAAGUGUCUGGUAUGGACGGGAAUGUUUUCAUUGACUUAGCUGAUGUUUUAACUCAAAGGACUAUGCCUGUGUCUGCAGUAAAUGUCCCAUGACAAGACGAUGUGGAUCCAUGGAUUUAAUUAUCAGUACAGAUGCCCCAAUGGUAAUGGAGCCUUGGGAGCCGAAGGACCCUGUGCAGUCAGGGCCAGGAUUGGUUGGGUCAUUAAUGGUCCACUGCGUGGUGGAUCUGACAGUAGAGGUGAGAGUGGCCAUCCUGCUGCAACAACAAACCCAAUCUCUGUUGAACAUCUUCAAGAAAUGCUGGUUAAACAAUACAACCAUGACUUUAAUGAGAAAUUGAAAUGUCCAGAGAAGACAUCAAGUUCGUGGAUCUUAUGAACAAUACAGCAAACCUCAUAGAAGACCACGACUGCAUCCGCUUACCUUUCAGACAGGAAAAUCCCAUGAUGCCAAAUAAUCACUUUGUUGCAGAACAGCACUUCCAGAGCCUGAAGAGCAAGUAGAUAAAAAUGGACGUUUUAAGGAGGAAUAUGUCUCAUUCCUGAAUGACAUGAUGACUUACAAGCUCUCUCCUUUGGCCAAGAACAUGUGGCAGCAAUGGCAGACGUCCAAGCCAUGGUUCAUCAAGUUAGCGUCUCAGUUAAGCAUAUUGACUUUCUCUGCUUCUUCUGGUGGCCUCAUGGAGAUACUGCACAGCCUCCGGUAGAACAUCCAAUAAAAUCUGUUUGGCACUGUAUCAUCACCAAGUUGCUGCUUUGCGGAGAACAGGACAGCACAGAACAACACAGUCAAAUGCAACUUUUAUGUGGACGAUUGCUUGAAAUCCAUGGCAUCGGAAGAAGAGGCAGUGCAAAUGGUAACGGAUUUGACUGUGCUUUGUCAAAGGAGGAUUCGAUCUUUCCAAGUGGAUCAGCAACAGCUGCAAAGUGCUGAUGUCCAUUGCAGAGGACGGCAGAGCAAAGGAGAUCAUGGAAUUGGACUUGGAUACAAAGCAACUUCCGGUAGAGCGAGCACCGGGACUACAGUGGUGCAUGGAAUCUGACAAGUUCAAAUUCAGGACGUCUGCACAAGAACAGCCACAGACCAGAAGAGGUAUUCUGUCAGUGGUCAGCUCAUCGUAUGACCCUUUGGGAUUUUUAGCUCCAUUUGUUUUGCCAGCCAAGUUGCUUCUCCAGGAACUCUAUCGGAGAAACCUUGCCUGGGAUGAAUCCAUCAUGGAGUCUUCCGGUAAGAAAUGAAGAUCUGGAUGGCGGGGUCCGUUGGUGGCCUUGCGCUGGUCUUGACUCCUCGGCUCUGCUGCUUGGCCUCCCCGUGGCUUGGAGCUGUGGCACUUCCUCUCCGGGGGUGGCCUGCUCGACGGGUGUCGGCCGGCACGGUGUGUUGCCUUGCUGCUCGCCUGCGCGCCCCCUACGCUUGCUCAUGUGCUGCUGUAGCCCCAACGCCGGGGUCGAGGGAGGACUGGGGUGCUAUCCCUUGGAGGUCCGUGUCUCCUUCGGCUCGGGGCCUGGUUGUGGGUCUGGGUCCCCUGGGUCCCCCGCCCUAUAACGCCCCAGAUGCCCCACUCGGGGACAUCCAUGGUUUGUGCUUGCGUGUGUGUUGAGUGGAUGGAGUGUGCGCGUGUGUCUGAGCUAUUUUUAUGGUAAUGCUAAUGGUAAUGGUUUUAUUUAAUUUGAACAUGCAUCAGAUUACAAUUGAGUGCAUCCCAUAAUUAGUUCACAGUUCCACAUGUCCAAAAGGAGUAGGAAGAAGCAAAGCUUAUUAAAUCCUACCCCUCCAUCUGGUACUUUUACAAUCAGUAACUGUUACAUUUGUUCACUUCCUGCUUUCCUAAUCUAAUUUGUAAAAACAAAUUUAAAAUUUAUUUUAUUAAUUAUUAUUUUAUUCUCAUUUAUUAAUUUUAUUUUUUGUCUCGUACCGAAGUACGAGGUGAUGACCAUGACCAUACAAUGACAUAAUGGGUACCAUAGUAACUGUCAACAUAGUGAUAUGUAUAGCACAUCAUGACUGGUUCAAGACUCUUCAUCCUUGUAUUUAGCAAACAUCAACUGCUUGUAUUGUUUCUUGAAUUGGCUCAUCGUUGUGCAUUGUUUGAGGGUCUUACUCAAUCCAUUCCAUAGUUUGAUUCCACAUACUGAAAUUCUAUGGCUUUUUAACGUAGUCCUAGCAUAGAAGUGUUUCAAAUUUACUUCCCUGAGAUCAUAUUUCUCCUCUCUUGUAGAGAAGGUUCAAGGACAAUCUAUUAUCA